AGAGCGCACGGUUCGGGACCGUGAGGUCGCACGUUCAAAUCGUGUCGCCCCGACCA
rnacentral:tRNA from 1 species